rnacentral:rRNA from 1 species
UACGUAGGGGGCAAGCGUUGUCCGGAUUUAUUGGGCGUAAAGAGCGUGUAGGCGGCUAGAUAGGUCCGUUGUGAAAACUCGAGGCUCAACCUCGAGCUGUCGGCGGAAACCAUCUGGCUAGAGUCCGGAAGAGGAGAGUGGAAUUCCCGGUGUAGCGGUGAAAUGCGCAGAUAUCGGGAGGAACACCAAUGGCGAAGGCAGCUCGCUGGGACGGUACGUGACGCUGAGACGCGAAAGCG